CCUACGGGAGGCAGCAGUGGGGAAUAUUGGACAAUGGGGGAAACCCUGAUCCAGCGAAGCCGCGUGAGUGAAGAAGUAUUUCGGUACGUAAAGCUCUAUCAGCAGGAAAGAAAAUGACGGUACCUGACUAAGAAGCCCCGGCUAACGACGUGCCAGCAGCCGCGGGAAGACGUAGGGGGCAAGCGUUAUCCGGAUUUACUGGGUGUAAAGGGGGCGUAGACGGCCGGGAAAGUCUGGAGUGAAAUGCCGGGGCCCAACCCCGGAACUGCUCUGGAAACUGUGAAGCUGGAGUGCAGGAGAGGUAAGCGGAAUUCCUGGUGUAGCGGUGAAAUGCGUAGAUAUCAGGAGGAACACCGGCGGCGAAGGCGGCUUACUGGACUGUAACUGACGUUGAGGCUCGAAGGCGUGGGGAGCAAACAGGAUUAGAUACCCUGGUAGUC
rnacentral:rRNA from 1 species